GUUCAGAGGAAGGCAGGGAAAAUAUGGCUAAAAGGACCUAACUUUAUUUUCCUUUUCUCUCAUAAGAAAACAAACAUGAACCCUGUUUGGAACAAAGAGGGCUGUGGGCUGCUUGUUUGGAACUUCAUGAUUGGACCUUCAUAAGGUUGCAGCUGGCUGACUCCCUCUGCCUUCCAGAUGAUGUCUCUCACCAUCAAGAAGAGGCUGCCAGCACUCAGGGGAUGAAUCUGCCCCAGGUUGUCCAGUUUCAAGACAAGAACAAGACCUCCAUCACAAGAUCUCAGCAGCUGGCCCGGAUCACAGCUCAAUUCAACCUUGCCCACCUGAGGUGGUGUUUCAGAACUACAGCCUUGGUGAGGUCUGUGAAGUGCCAGUGGUUCUGAGGAACAGGGACAAGGCAGUAUCACAGGCUGUGUCAGCAGAACAAGGACAAGUUGUCUGAUUUUCUGAAGGAGCACAGAGUGGACAUCACUUCCCAAGAGCAUUCAGCUCUUCUCACCCACACCCUCCAGACAGUGAGGGCAAAGGCGCAAGAAGAUCCCAUGCUGUUCUACAGUGACAUUUUCUGCCUUGAGCCGAAGGUAAGUGAUGGCUGAGAACCUCCCUUCCUGCUUCUCCUCAUUCCCUUCCUCCUCAUCACUGAAU
rnacentral:lncRNA from 12 species